UACGUAUGGAGCAAGCGUUAUCCGGAUUUACUGGGCGUAAAGGGAGCGUAGGCGGCCUGCCAAGUCUGAUGUGAAAUACCGGGGCUCAACCCCGGGGCUGCAUUGGAAACUGGCAGGCUGGAGUGCCGGAGAGGCAGGCGGAAUUCCUAGUGUAGCGGUGAAAUGCGUAGAUAUAUGGAAGAACACCAGUGGCGAAAGCGGCUCUCUGGUCUGUAACUGACGCUGAGGUUCGAAAGCGUGGGUAGCAAACAGG
rnacentral:rRNA from 1 species